rnacentral:rRNA from 1 species
UACAGAGGGGGCAAGCGUUAUUCGGAAUUAUUGGGCCUAAAGCAUCCGUAGCCGGUUCUGCAAGUCUUCCGUUAAAUCCACCUGCUUAACAGAUGGGCCGCGGAAGAUACUAUAGAGCUAGGAGGCGGGAGAGGCAAGCGGUACUCGAUGGGUAGGGGUAAAAUCCGUUGAUCCAUUGAAGACCACCAGUGGCGAAGGCGGCUUGCCAGAACGCGCUCGACGGUGAGGGAUGAAAGCUGGGGGAGCAAACCGG